UACGAAGGGGGCUAGCGUUGCUCGGAAUUACUGGGCGUAAAGGGUGUGUAGGCGGAUAUUUAAGUUAGAGGUGAAAUCCCCGGGCUCAACCUGGGAACUGCAUUUGUGACUGCAUCGCUGGAGUGCGGCAGAGGGGGAUGGAAUUCCGCGUGUAGCAGUGAAAUGCGUAGAUAUGCGGAGGAACACCGAUGGCGAAGGCAAUCCCCUGGGCCUGCACUGACGCUCAUGCACGAAAGCGUGGGGAGCAAACAGG
rnacentral:rRNA from 1 species